rnacentral:rRNA from 1 species
AGAGUUUGAUCCUGGCUCAGUACGAACGCUGGCGGCAGGCCUAACACAUGCAAGUCGAGCGCCCCCGCAAGGGGGAGCGGCGGACGGGUGAGUAACGCGUGGGAAUUUUCCUCAAGGUACGGAACAACUCAGGGAAACUUGGGCUAAUACCGUAUGAUGUCUAGCGACCAAAGAUUUAUCGCCUUGGGAUAAGCCCGCGUCAGAUUAGGUAGUUGGUGGGGUAACGGCCUACCAAGCCUGCGAUCUGUAGCUGGUCUGAGAGGACGAUCAGCCACACUGGGACUGAGACACGGCCCAGACUCCUACGGGAGGCAGCAGUGGGGAAUCUUGCGCAAUGGGCGAAAGCCUGACGCAGCCAUGCCGCGUGAAUGAUGAAGGUCUUAGGAUUGUAAAGUUCUUUCGCUCGUGACGAUGAUGACGGUAACGAGAGAAGAGCCAGACUCGCC